GAUGAACGCUGGCGGCGUGCUUAACACAUGCAAGUCGAACGAGAAUCUAUGGAUAGAGGAUUCGUCCAAUUGAAGUAGAGGAAAGUGGCGGACGGGUGAGUAACGCGUGAGGAACCUGCCUAGGAGUGGGGAAUAACAGUCCGAAAGGACUGCUAAUACCGCAUAAUGCAGUUGGGUCGCAUGGCUCUGACUGCCAAAGAUUUAUCGCUCUUAGAUGGCCUCGCGUCUGAUUAGCUAGUUGGUAGGGUAACGGCCUACCAAGGGGACGAUCAGUAGCCGGACUGACAGUAUGGCCGACCACAGUUGGACGGGGACACGGCUCAGACUCGUACCAGAGGCAGUAAAGGGGAAUAUUGGGCAAUCGGCCCAAGAUUGCGCCAGCAACGCCGCGUGAAGGAAGAAGGCUUUCGGGUUGUAAACUUCUUUUAACAGGGACGAAGAGAGUGACGGUACCUGUUGAAUAAGCCACGGCUAACUACGUGCCAGCCGCCGCGGUAAUAC
rnacentral:rRNA from 1 species